rnacentral:rRNA from 1 species
AGUCGACGCAGAAAGAGCUUGCUUUUCUCUGAGUGGCGAACGGGUGAGUAAUACAUAAGCAACCUACCCAUACGACCGGGAUAACCAUUGGAAACGAUGGCUAAUACCGGAUAGGUGUUCGGGGGACAUCCCCUGGAUAUUAAAGCUGGGAUACAGCACGAAUGGAUGGGCUUAUGGCGCAUUAGUUAGUUGGCGGGGUAACGGCCCACCAAGACGAUGAUGCGUAGCCGACCUGAGAGGGUGACCGGCCACACUGGGACUGAGACACGGCCCAGACUCCUACGGGAGGCAGCAGUAGGGAAUUUUCGGCAAUGGGCGCAAGCCUGACCGAGCAACGCCGCGUGAGUGAAGAAGGCCUUCGGGUUGUAAAGCUCUGUUGUAAGGGAAGAAUGACCAAGAUAGGGAAUGAUCUUGGAGUGACGGUACCUUACCAGAAAGCCACGGCUAACUACGUGCCAGCAGCCGCGGUAAUACGUAGGUGGCAAGCGUUAUCCGGAAUUAUUGGGCGUAAAGGGUGCGUAGGCGGUUUGAUAAGUCUGAGGUGAAAGUUCGGGGCUCAACUCCGAAUUGCCUUAGAAACUGUCAGACUUGAGUGUAGGAGAGGGCAAUGGAAUUCCAUGUGUAGCGGUAAAAUGCGUAGAUAUAUGGAGGAACACCAGUGGCGAAGGCGGUUGCCUGGCCUAUAACUGACGCUGAGGCACGAAAGCGUGGGGAGCAAAUAGGAUUAGAUACCCUAGUAGUCCACGCUGUAAACGAUGAUUACUAAGUGUUGGAGCAAUUCAGUGCUGCAGUUAACGCAAUAAGUAAUCCGCCUGGGGAGUAUGCACGCAAGUGUGAAAC